CCUACGGGAGGCAGCAGUGAGGAAUAUUGGUCAAUGGACGCAAGUCUGAACCAGCCAUGCCGCGUGCAGGAAGACGGCUCUAUGAGUUGUAAACUGCUUUUGUACGAGGGUAAACGCAGAUACGCGUAUCUGUCUGAAAGUACCGUACGAAUAAGGAUCGGCUAACUCCGUGCCAGCAGCCGCGGUAAUACGGAGGAUUCAAGCGUUAUCCGGAUUUAUUGGGUUUAAGGGGUGCGUAGGCGGUGGGAUAAGUUAGAGGUGAAAUCCCGAGGCUUAACUUCGGAAUUGCCUCUGAUACUGUUAGGCUAGAGAGUAGAUGCGGUAGGCGGAAUGUAUGGUGUAGCGGUGAAAUGCUUAGAGAUCAUACAGAACACCGAUUGCGAAGGCAGCUUACCAAGCUACAUCUGACGUUGAGGCACGAAAGCGUGGGGAGCAAACAGGAUUAGAUACCCUAGUAGUC
rnacentral:rRNA from 1 species